rnacentral:rRNA from 1 species
GACGAACGCUGGCGGCGUGCUUAACACAUGCAAGUCGAACGAUGAAGCCUAGCUUGCUAGGUGGAUUAGUGGCGAACGGGUGAGUAAUACGUGAGUAACCUACCUUUAACUCUGGGAUAAGCCUGGGAAACUGGGUCUAAUACCGGAUACGACCAAUCUCCGCAUGGGGUGUUGGUGGAAAGCGUUAUGUAGUGGUUAUAGAUGGGCUCACGGCCUAUCAGCUUGUUGGUGAGGUAACGGCUCACCAAGGCGACGACGGGUAGCCGGCCUGAGAGGGUGACCGGCCACACUGGGACUGAGACACGGCCCAGACUCCUACGGGAGGCAGCAGUGGGGAAUAUUGCACAAUGGGCGCAAGCCUGAUGCAGCGACGCCGCGUGAGGGAUGACGGCCUUCGGGUUGUAAACCUCUGUUAGCAGGGAAGAAGAGAAAUUGACGGUACCUGCAGAGAAAGCGCCGGCUAACUACGUGCCAGCAGCCGCGGUAAUACGUAGGGCGCGAGCGUUGUCCGGAAUUAUUGGGCGUAAAGAGCUUGUAGGGCGGUUUGUCGCGUCUGCUGUGAAAGGCCGGGGCUUAACCCCGUGUAUUGCAGUGGGUACGGGCAGACUAGAGUGCAGUAGGGGAGACUGGAAUUCCUGGUGUAGCAGUGGAAUGCGCAGAUAUCCGGAGGAACACCGAUGGCGAAGGCAGGUCUCUGGGCUGUAACUGACGCUGAGAAGCGAAAGCAUGGGGAGCGAACAGGAUUAGAUACCCUGGUAGUCCAUGCCGUAAACGUUGGGCACUAGGUGUGGGGAACAUUCCACGUUUUCCGCGCCGUAGCUAACGCAUUAAGUGCCCCGCCUGGGGAGUACGGCCGCAAGGCUAAAACUCAAAGAAAUUGACGGGGGCCCGCACAAGCGGCGGAGCAUGCGGAUUAAUUCGAUGCAACGCGAAGAACCUUACCAAGGCUUGACAUAUACUGGACCGCAUCAGAGAUGGUGUUUCCCUUCGGGGCUGGUAUACAGGUGGUGCAUGGUUGUCGUCAGCUCGUGUCGUGAGAUGUUGGGUUAAGUCCCGCAACGAGCGCAACCCUCGUUCUAUGUUGCCAGCACGUAAUGGUGGGGACUCAUAGGAGACUGCCGGGGUCAACUCGGAGGAAGGUGGGGAUGACGUCAAAUCAUCAUGCCCCUUAUGUCUUGGGCUUCACGCAUGCUACAAUGGCCGGUACAGAGGGUUGCGAUACUGUGAGGUGGAGCUAAUCCCUAAAAGCCGGUCUCAGUUCGGAUUGGGGUCUGCAACUCGACCCCAUGAAGUCGGAGUCGCUAGUAAUCGCAGAUCAGCAACGCUGCGGUGAAUACGUUCCCGGGCCU